rnacentral:rRNA from 1 species
AAAGACNACGGCUAAGCUUCGUNCCAGCACCCGGCCGGUAAUACGUAGGUGAGUCAAGCGCUGUACUUAGAAAUUAUUCGGGCGUAAAGCGCGCGCUACGGCGCUCUCUUUACAGUCUCAAUGUGAAACAUCCACGGGCUCUAACCGUGGAGCAGUUCAUUGCGAAAACUGGGGCAGUUUGAGUGUAGACAGAGGAGAGGUGGAAUUCUCACGUGUAGCGGUGAAAUAGCGUAUAGAUAUGGAGGAAACACCCAGUGGAGAGGGGGACGCUUCUGGUCUCUAACUGAGCCUGAGGCGUGAAAGAGUGGGGAGCGCACACGAUUUGAUAUCCCUUUUUUUCCCGCCCUAUACGCGGAGUGAUAAGUGAUAGGGGGCCUUCGCCCCUUAGUGUCGCAGGUAACGCAUUAAGCACUCCGCCUGGGGAGUACGGUCGCAAGACUAAAAAUCAAAAGAAUUGACGGGGGCCCGCACCAGCGGUGGAGCAUGUGGUUUAAUUUGAAGCAACGCGAAGAACCUUACCCGGUCUUGACAUCCCAUUGACCUUUCCAGAGAUAUAUUUUCCCUUUCGGGAGCAAGAAACACGGAUGGUGCAGGGUUUUGUUCAUCUGGUUUCGUGAAAUUUGGGUUUAAGUCCUGCAACGAGCCAACCCUUACCUUUUAGUUCCCCUCAUUAAGUUGGGCACUCUAAGGAGACUGCCGGUGACAAACCGGAGGAAGGUGGGGAUGACGUCAAGUCAUCAUGGCCCUUAUGACCUGGGCUACACACGUGCUACAAUGGACGAUACAAAGGGUAGCCAACUCGCGAGAGGGAGCUAAUCCCAUAAAGUCGAUCUUAGUUCGGAUUGUAGUCUGCAACUCGACUACAUGAAGUCGGAAUCGCUAGUAAUCGAGGAUCAGCAUGCCACGGUGAAUACGUUCCCGGGCCUUGUACACACCGCCCGUCACACCCCGGGAGUGGGUAUCACCAGAAGUCGGUGACGUAACCUANGGAGGCAGCCUUCCGAAGAUGGA